AACGCGAAGAACCUUACCUGGGCUCGAAAUGGAGUGGACCGGAGUAGAAAUAUUCCUUCCCCGCAAGGGGCUGCUCUAUAGGUGCUGCAUGGCUGUCGUCAGCUCGUGUCGUGAGAUGUUGGGUUAAGUCCCGCAACGAGCGCAACCCUUAUUACCAGUUGCCAUCAUUAAGUUGGGCACUCAGGUGAGACCGCCUCGGAUAACGGGGAGGAAGGCGGGGAUGACGUCAAGUCCUCAUGGCCUUUAUGUCCAGGGCUACACACGUGCUACAAUGGCCGGUACAAACCGUCGCAAACCCGUGAGGGGGAGCUAAUCGGAAAAAGCCGGCCUCAGUUCGGAUUGUAGUCUGCAACUCGACUACAUGAAGCUGGAAUCGCUAGUAAUCGCGGAUCAGAACGCCGCGGUGAAUACGUUCCCGGGCCUUGUA
rnacentral:rRNA from 1 species